rnacentral:rRNA from 1 species
GCUGCAGGAAUUCCCAAUACAUCGAUACGGGUUGUGGGAGCAAGAUCCCGGAGAUGGAUUCUGAGACAUGAAUCCAGGCCCUACGGGGCGCAGCAGGCGCGCAAACUUUACAAUGCGAGCAAUCGUGAUAAGGAAACCCUGAGUGCCUGUCGAUGCAGGCUGUUCAUAUAUCUAAAUCAUAUGUGAAGAAAGGGCAGGGCAAGACCGGUGCCAGCCGCCGCGGUAAUACCGGCUGCUCGAGUGAUGGCCACUAUUACUGGGUUUAAAGCGUCCGUAGCUUGACUGUUAGGUCUCUUGGGAAAUCUUCGCGCUCAACGUGAAGGCGUCUAAGAGAUACCGGCAGUCUUGGAACUGGGAGAGGUAAACCGUACUUCGGGGGUAGGAGUGAAAUCUUGUAAUCCUCGAGGGACGACCUAUGGCGAAGGCAGUUUACCAGAACAGCUUCGACAGUGAGGGACGAAAGCUGGGGGAGCAAACGGGAUUAGAUACCCCGGUAGUCCCAGCCGUAAAC